GAUGAACGCCGGCGGCGUGCCUAAUACAUGCAAGUCGAGCGAAUGGAUUAAGAGCUUGCUCAUAUGAAGUUAGCGGCGGACGGGUGAGUAACACGUGGGUAACCUGCCCAUAAGACUGGGAUAACUCCGGGAAACCGGGGCUAAUACCGGAUAACAUUUUGAACCGCAUGGUUCGAAAUUGAAAGGCGGCUUCGGCUGUCACUUAUGGAUGGACCCGGGUCGCAUUAGCUAGUUGGUGAGGUAACGGCUCACCAAGGCAACGAUGCGUAGCCGACCUGAGAGGGUGAUCGGCCACACUGGGACUGAGACACGGCCCAGACUCCUACGGGAGGCAGCAGUAGGGAAUCUUCCGCAAUGGACGAAAGUCUGACGGAGCAACGCCGCGUGAGUGAUGAAGGCUUUCGGGUCGUAAAACUCUGUUGUUAGGGAAGAACAAGUGCUAGUUGAAUAAGCUGGCACCUUGACGGUACCUAACCAGAAAGCCACGGCUAACUACGUGCCAGCCGCCGCAGUAA
rnacentral:rRNA from 1 species